CACACACACACACACACACACACACACGCACACGCACACGCACACGCACACGCACACACGCACGCACACGCACAUUUUAAGAAACGAAGACCAGAAUAAUCAAAUCAACAUGGCGUUCUACUCCCAACUUCACUAGGCCGAAUGUGUGUCAGCUCCGUUGUGAAAUCCACUUCAACUCUGUUUUCCUCCUUUCAGUAGUGACAUGGAGGAAGUUGAAGCUUGCUGAAUCUUUAAUCUGGAGUUAAAGCAUAAGACAGUCAGCAGAGACUACAGAAUGGGAGAAAGCCUUUGGCCACCAGACUUACUGUGAGAAUCUAUAAACAACUCUAAAAAGGAAA